UAUGAGCAACUUAGUGAGCUUCAGUUAUGUCGGACGUUGUGUUGUGAAGCCCCAGUUUUAUUAAUUUAUUAUUCGCCGUGUUAACCGGUAAUCCCACUGUUGUUUUGACAAGUAUUUUAAUUAAUCUGCUCAAGUUGUUUGUCUGUGUCCAUCUAAGCAUCCCAGCUACACAGGAGAAGCGGCACAAGGCGAAAGCGUGGACCAGUCUCAUGACGCUCUCCUCUUCCACCCCUCUGUGUCUGUUUGUGAUUCUCCAUAGCAGGUAUUUUUCCCUCCUCAGUCUUGCUAGUGAUGUGUUGUAUUGUUCUUCCAGUUGCCCCGUUUGCCCCCAAGAAUAACCCUAAGACCCUAAUGGAUUCGACUUGCCUAACAUAUUUGCCUGCCUUCGUGGUUAGAACUAACCUGGGUUCUUCCUCGGGAACAUAUCCCUGCGGUUUUCUACCCCUACUCCUGUUACUGAGUUCUAGGAGUUCACACUUCUCAAAAGAGCAUUUGAGUCCCAUGUCUUCUAAAAUGAACUAUACCUCAUAAAUUCUCUCCUGAAGUCUGCUUUCCACCUGUCCCAUAAUUCCUUCAGCGCUCCCUACAGUCACAUCGUCUGCAUAAAUGGUAAAGUGAAUGCCCUUUAUCUCUUUUAAUCACUUUGCCACUUUGGACGUGACCAGGUUGAAAAGCGUAGGUGUCGCAGUCUAUCCGUGGCGUCUUAAAUUUGGCGGCUAUGACAUAGACGGCCGUUUGUAUACGGGGGAAAACUUUGCAUGCGAAUCCGUACAGUGUAACUAUAUUCGCAUAGCGUCCAUUUGGUGUCGCGCCGGUUACAAGCCGACGUUCCGACACACAACUUCCUCGUUUGUAGUCAUUUUUCACGAGCGUACACGCGAGUACUACCGGCCAAUGUCCAAGUGAAUGCGAAGAAAAGAAAAAAAGUUCAUGCAACAGUUUCUAAAAAAAAGCAACUUACUUACUGUAACAAAAAAAAACCCAAAAAAAGAAAACCGCGCGAGGGGUAGUGGUUACAUGGUGGAGCGGAAAGUUUACGACAGAAAUGUCCGUAGAACAAAAGACGGCGAAAGGAAAAAGUAGAGGCCCGCCUAAUGCUUGAAAUGAAAACCAAAACAGUUGCGAGACAUUGUUCCCAGAUGGUGGCUUCGCGUCUUCGUGUGUCCCGAACGAGGCAGCUAGAAGGAUCAUCCAUCAUUUGGGGGAGCUCGCGAAACGGAUAGCAAAGAAAGUGGAAACUGGCGAAGAGCUUGUGUGCGCUGUGUUUUUACUGAGUUAGACACUGCUGAACACGCGGUCGCGCUGCAGAAUAGGGUGGCUGCGUCGUCUGCUACGAACCGUUCGUGCGUCUGCUAAUGCGAGUGUCUUUAGGUACGAAGCUGGCGCUGACAGUUUCGCGCGAGAAAUUACCACAACGUAACGAGGCGCACUGGAACAGACGGGUUUCAUGCCGAAACUCCAACAACGGUACGCCACAUGACGUCAUGGACUUUAUUUCAGGCCACGGAACAAGCGGUGAUGUGGAGGAGACUGCAGGCUGGAACAUACCCGCAUGAAACGCUACUGCACGCCAUGUAUCCGGGGACCUGCAGGCGGGACUGCAAAUUCUGCCUGCCGGACAAGCCCAACACCCUGCGCCAUAUGGUGUUGUGGUGCAAGAAUAACCCGAACGUGACACCGACAACACCGCCAUCAGGCUCGAACGGGCCGAACAGAGCAGAACCAGAAGAGCAACAAUUAGAAGACCAGUGGGAGGCUCUGCUGCUGACGCAGGACCUUGGAAACCAACUAUGAUUGGUGGACAGGGCUCGGGCGGCAGCAGCGAGUCAUCACUACCUCGGCUGAGGGCUCAAGCCUGGUCGCACAAUAAAGUUUAUUUCUCUCUCUUUCGCGUCCCUUCAAGUCGUCGGUGUUCAAGUUAAUUCGUUUAUUUAACGUCCACAGAUGCACAGAAAAAAAUAACUAGGUCCGGGUUGGUGCGGCAAAUUAUAUGCUUCGACAUUUGUUUCGAUGGAUCGUUGGGCGAAGCAGAUAAAUUUGUACCUCUGUUAAAGAUCGAAGUUCAAAUAUGGGACUCCGCAUGCGCAGACCAUGACGUCAACGGCGCUGCGAAUGACGCGUAAGCCGGCUGUGUGUUUGGCAGUGUUUCACCAACUUCAAGUGUAUGUGUUUUUUUGCUGAUUUAUUAGUACGUGUACAAUACACGCACGUACUCCGAAGCAAAGCAUGGGUCACGGGUUGUUUCAAGUAUCAUUUUCAACUUCAAGGCCGUCGAGUAGUUGGUUGUUCCUUGAUUUCUUGUGCUUUUGGAUAAAAGAUUAUUCUAAGCUGUUCAAAGGAGUCAUACGCGACAACGUAUUAAGCAUUGCAAACGUUUAAACAUGGCUGGCUAGGAAGAAUUAUUCGAUAACUACGCCGUUGUAUUCCAGCAAUAA